rnacentral:rRNA from 1 species
GGAACGGGGCGCAGCAGGCGGGAAACCUUUCCAAUCCGGGAAACCGUGACAAGCAAACACGGCGUGCCGCCACCAGAGAUUGGCUCUCCACCUGUGUAAACUGCAUCGUUAUAAGGGGCGGGCGAAACGGGUGCAGCCGCCGCGGUAAA